AAGAGGAAGUGAACAGCUCUGUCAAACGCUGCUGCUGGGUGGAGCUCCCUGAAGACAGAGAGUGAACCCUUGGUUUUCGCCAUGUAGAGGUCUGCUGUGCUGAGACUCAUGGCAAACCCCAGGAGCCACCUAUGAUGUGCCAGACACAUAAGCCCCUCCCUCACAGGCGUGGGUGCAGCCGGGGCCGACCGCAUUCCAAGGAGCAUUUCCUCUGAAAGCCAGGCCAAGUGCCCGCUCUCCAGCGUGAGUCAAGCAGUGCCAUGCCUCCCACACCCCUUGCAUCACAUCUCUGGGAAUGCACAGACCUUGCUGUUACGCUCUCUCUUCCCACCCUUUAUGGGUGUUUUCUUUAAGUGGCAGAAGGAAGUGGGCAUGGGUUGGGAGAGGACCAUGAAUUCUAGUUUCUGCCAUACUGCAGGUGGAUUUGGGGAAGA
ensembl:lncRNA MIR5689HG MIR5689 host gene